AUCUGUUAUUUCUGAACAAUUCCUACGAAGAUGUAGGAAUUGGCUUUUGGGGGCACUCUCAAGCCAGGGCUUAUAGUGGCAACUGGUUUUGUCAAUAGCCGUAUUAACACAUACCUUUUUAAAAAACGUUUUUGUGUGGAGUUGUCCUUCCUUAAUAAAAAUGUUAAGAUCUAAAAAGUUUAUAGAUUCUUUACUAAAUUCAUGUGUGAGG